rnacentral:rRNA from 1 species
CYGGGGGAUAGCCCGAAGAAAUUUGGAUUAAUACCCYAURGUAUARGAGCACGGCAUCGUGMAAUUAUUAAAGCUWMGGYGGURAAAGAUGAGUAUGCGUUCUAUUAGCUAGUUGGAGAGGUAACGGCUCCCCAAGGCGAYGAUAGAUAGGGGUUCUGAGAGGGAUGUCCCCCACACUGGUACUGAGAUACGGACCAGACUCCUACGGGAGGCAGCAGUGAGGAAUAUUGGACAAUGGUCGGAAGACUGAUCCAGCCAUGCCGCGUGCAGGAUGAMGKCCUUAUGGRUUGUAAACUGCU